CCGUUUGCAUCCUAUCAGGGUGUGGCUGGUGGUUCCAGCCGUGUACUCAGGGAUAUAUGGUCCCGACCUGUAGUCUCUCCGGGGUCGAUGGGUGGUUUCUGCGGGGCGGGGUGGUUAAAUUGGGAUGGUAAAGCCCCGCCUUUGGGAGCAGAAGAGGAAAGCCGCCGCCGCCGCGCGCCCUACCUUCGGCGGCGGUUUAGGGUACGGGGGGGACAGGGAGCAGGGAGGGCCGGCCGCUUCGUCGGUUCGUGGUGGUCAGCGCUUCCGCUUCCCCCUCCUCGGCUGUCUUCCUCUUCUGGUAGAGCCGCACCGCCAUGGAGCUUCGCUCCUUCUCCCGCCGUAGUAGUAGAAGACGCUGGAACGAGGACGGCCAGAGGGUUAACCCCCCGCUGCGCGCGUGCGUGUCCCCGCCGUCGCCGUCGCCGUCGCGAGUGAUCGUCGUCGGUUCUUAACAGUAGUUGGAGGCGAGUCUAGGUCUAGCGGGGGAGAGCCCAUACACUACUACUAAGCUUAGGUGCGUGUCCCCGCCGUUGUCGUCGCCGUCGCCGUCGCGAGUGAUCGUCGUCGGUUCUCAGUAGUUGGAGGCGAGUCUAGGUCUAGCAGGGAAGGGCCCCUACACUGCUACUUAACUUAGGUUUCUUCUUUGUAGACGACGCGGGAUCAGAGAGGUAGUAGGUCUUCGCUCCAUCUUUCGCCGGAGUAGUAGAAGACGCUGGAACCAGGUCGGUCGGGCUGCUAAGCUUCUACGGUCCCGUCUUUGUAUACGACGCGGCAACAGAGAGGUAGGUCGGCGGGGGUUUAAUAAUAACAACCCCCCGUUUUGCGAGCGCCUGCUUGUUGUUGUAGACCUCCCUGACCAGGUUAGAUCCGCUACCCGGCCGUCCUGACUAACGACUCGCGCAGGAACGUAUACUGUAGCGGCUGAUAGAGGCGAAGGCACGGCACACGGCGGGUACCGCAGUCACAAGGUGCCUUGGCGCGAGGGUGUCGCAUGAACUGGCGGCCAAGGUAGGGACCGCCACCCAAGACGAGGCGCUAGGUGAACGACGAGCAUUGGCGACAAGGAAGGAUUUGAGGAGGUGGCCACUCACGUAGGUUGACCUGGAGAGCCUCGAGGAACUGGUACUCGACGAGCGGCAGUGGGGGCUCCCGGAGGAACAGGACGAGGUGCUGGUCUCGGUACAGGCGGACGAAUUAGGCGAGUGCGCAGUGGAGUGUCUCGAUGGCGGCGAGUGGUGAGACGACGGGAGACACCUGGCACAGUACGGAAGGGCAAAGUCGUAUUUGAUAAAGAGUCACAGCCCGACGCCGUAACGAUCACUACUAAGUUGUCACCACGAGACGAAGUUAGUCGAGGCGUACGAACCGUACCGGUUUGGACCGCUACUGGUGACCUACCGCGACUUCAUGUUGUUACUACUCGAAUGUUUUAGUGGGAAUUACAAACGUCCGGCAAAGAUGGUACAAUGACUACUACCACAGUACCACGACGUUUAGCCAGGUUUAGUCGACGGUGCCGAACUCCACCGACGGUUCGACUUAUACGUACAGAGCGGUUAAAGCGUUUCAUACGUGGAGUAGUCGUUAACACCACUCGACUACGACCACGUGGCAUAAUAAAAUGGUAACUGCAGCGCCUUAUUUAGCCCAAUAGCCAUGUUGCACAUAGCUCACUUGAACCUAUGACCCUGUGAUAAGGCCCAGUUCACGAACCCACCACCGCCGAGUCCUACACGCCACAAGAACCCGUACAUAGCGAGAAAGAACCAGGGCUAUCUCCAAAAGGGCAGACCGAGGUAGUCACGACUGUGGUAGAUAGGCACGAAACUGAAUCUACUCUCUUCCGACAAUUUUCAACCCCGUAUAGUAGAACGCCUACCUGUGCAGCUUGUUGGUACAUCGAAGCUACCUGUGUAGCUUGUUGGUACAUCGAACCUACCUGUGUAGCUUGUUGGCACAUCGAACCACGACGCCGGCGUAUGAGAGCCACUGAUAGAUAGAAACAGGUUAUGCCAAAUCAGGUACUCAUUAAAUAUAGGGUAAAGGAAACCAUUAAAUCGUACGUACCAAUACGUUAUAAGUGAGAAACAAGGUAGACCAAUUGAUCAUAAACUCACGGACAUAGAUCCGUCUUAAUACAUGCCUACUGACCAGGUCUAAUUAAAGGUAUAGCUCAAACGGUCGGUAUGUGUCUAAACAUUCCAGUUUCCCAAUCGUACGGAUACUGGAGAAAUAACUACAACUCCACUACGACUUAGUCGUUUAACGACGUACGACACGAUUAAAAAAAACACAAAACACUGAGCUUAAACUAACCUCUUUUAUUAUUAAUAACCAUGACGAUCAGGAUAUAAUAAAUUCAUGCGGUGUUCCACGAACACGUUAAAGUCAAAGAAGUGGACCCGACGAUAACAUUAGAUUCUACAUUCUCGUAGAGAUUAUCUUCUACGUUUAAACCUCUACAUUUUGAUCUAUGAC
rnacentral:rRNA from 1 species